CCCCAACCACAAUAUUUAUUAUUCAAUAAACACAACAUAAUAUAAAUACAGAGAGGCAUUCAUUUUUAGGAUUUCAGCCGCUGCCUUUGAAUUCUAGAGUGUUCUCCACUUCUCCCAAAAUUCUCUCUCAUUAGACCCGCCGUUCUCACUUUGCAGAUCCAGCCAUCCAUACAUCUCUCAUUUUAGGGUAUACGCAUGACCGGCGCCGCUAUCUCCAGACACCAGAUCUUCCAUUUUCCUCUUCUCCCUCGUCUGCAUACUCUUCCCCUUCAAUUCCAGCAUUCUCCAUAUUCACCUUCUUCCAGCCUUCUCCAUAUUCCCUUUUCCUCUUCUCCCUCGUCUGCAUCGUUUUCUUUGGCCACUCCCAAAAAUAAAACCCUAACUUACGCCCCCUCUCACGGUCUCACCUCUUCUCUCUGAACACCUAAAUUUCAGAAUCGGACAAAAAUACUGACAGCGAAAAAGGCGAAGCAGCUGUUAACGCCACCACAUCUUCGUAUGGUGGUGGGGAGCCGGAGUGAAGAUCUAUUUUUUUACAUUUAUUAGUUUUUUGUCUUUUAAUUUUUAAUUUUUUUUUGUUUUUAUAGUAUCAUUUUUGUAGAUCUAUGAAUAUCAUUUGAAAAGAAUAAGUUUUUUUUUUGCUGCUGAUGAGCUUUUUUUGUUCAUAGCUUCAUCAAUAGAUCUAUGAAUAUCAUUUUUUUUGUUUUUAUGAACAUUUAUUUCGUAGAUCUGAUUUUGGCAUUAUUUUUUGGCAUAUGUUUUUGUCAUUUGAUUUUUGUAGAUCUAUGAACAUUAUUUUGGCAUCUGAUUUUAGUAUUAUUUUUUGGUAUCUGAUUUUCGUAGAUCUAUGAACAUCUUUUUUUAUCGCAUGUAGAUCUAUGAAUAUCCACACAAAUUCAUUAUCCUUCGACAGUGUUUGUUACUGAUUUACAUUCUCGUUUAUUUUUACAACUUCCUAAACCUGCAGAGUAAACUUUGUUUGGUUACCUAUAUUUUGUAGGUGCUGCUCUCGGCGCUGGAUGAACAUCGAGGAAGUGAGGAAGUGAAGAUGGAUAUUAUGUGGUAUCACUAUUGGGUGAAGGCAAAUUCACUACCGGUGAUUUGUGUGAAGCACUCAUUUUCUUGAUAAAAAGGUAUGAUCACUAUCUAACAAUUUACAUAAGACUUUUCUCUGUAAAGAGAUACUUUAGAACCUCACAAUAACACAAGUAAUGUUUAUGUUCUUCAAGCGCAGAUCUUUAUACACUAACACCCAAUAAAUCAAUUUUUAAAGAUUGUGAGUUAUAUAUUGAAAAUGCUUUCAAAACACUUCCUGCACUCUGGGUAGGGGUGAGGAGAGAGAGAUAAUCCAAUCCUUGUCUAUCAUAUUGGCCCAUUUAGAAAUUAUAGCAACAAUAUAUGAUUUGCUCCACAUUAAAACUCUUGAAUGCUGUAAAUCUUGAAUAUAAAAGUGUGAUAAUAUGAAAUUUCUUCUUCUUGAUGCCAACUUGCUAUAAAUCUUGAAUAUACACUACUGAAGCACUCUUUGGUGUGAUAUGAAAUUUCUUCUUUUUGACGCAACUUGCUAUAAAUCUUGAAUAUACACUAAAACCAUCAUUUUUUUUGUGUGGCUUUUGCAGAUCUGACGUGCAAUACUUCCUGCUGCAUUGAGAGAUUUUAGUGUUGAUCUGCUGAGAAAAUAAAAGUAAAUAGCAAAAAACUGAACAAAAUAAAAAAGAAAUUUUGAAUAACAAAAAUUAAAGAGAAAUUUUGCAGGAAUUUACCACAUAAAAAACAUACAAAAGAUUUAGAAUAAUCGAGAUUAGAAAGAGAGAAUAAUCAAGAUUAGAGAGAGAAAGUUUCAGUGGUGAAAAUGUAGUCUGAAAUAAAUUUGAUAUUUAUAGGCUCAAGUGAUCUGCAAAUCGACUCCAGAUGAAAGUAUAGAAAAGUUUCAGAGGAAAACAUAUUUAUAUGAACAAAAAAAAUUCGGAGAAGAGAAAAUGGCUUGUUGAAAAACUUCAGAUUAAAUCGUAAAAAAAGAGCAGAGCUUAAAAUCGGAUAGCUCAAGUGUGGGUUAGCAGCUGAUGAACUGCUAUUUAUAGAGAAAGAAAGCAAUAAUUUGGGCUCCAAAAAAUUCAAAAUUCAAAUGUGGGCUGUACUGUUGGAGCCAAAACUGCCUGCAUUCUCAAACCCAGCGGAUAAGAAUCAGAAAGAUACAUUGGGCCAAUUGAUGUGGCUCUUGGCGGGAGCACACUAUCCUAGAAUUCUAAGCUUUAAUAUAUGUAUAGAUA
rnacentral:lncRNA from 1 species